rnacentral:lncRNA from 1 species
UCCCAAACCAGUGGGACUCUUGACCCCGGUACCCAAAAUGUGUGGAACUCAUGAUCAAAGAAUCUUGAUUCUCGAUCACAGAGUCUCAGACAUGUAGGACUCAGAGUCCCCGAGCAUUAGGACUCUUGGUCGAAGAGUCCCAAUCCAGUGGGACUCUUCACCAGCCAUCAGAUCAGAUAGGAACCUCUAAUGUGUGUGACUCUGCAGGUUCGAAUCUAAGCCGGUAGUACAGGAACCAAUUCUUGUACUAAUCAAAGUGACCAUCUAGUAAUGGUACUCGACGUCCGGAUAGGUCGAAUAGUCGCAAUCGCAAUAUUCAGAAUCUACGUGAAUAUGGUUACUAUAUAAUUCAUCCCUUUUGACCCUUGUGUAUAGGACGACUCAGGGUUAACAUGUCAACCCUGAUCAGAUCAUCCGAAUCGUGCUCAACUCAAACAGUCCUGUGACUCCUCAUUAGGACUACUCUGUCCAAAGUUUUGCUAAAUUGAAAUACGACUGUACACAGCACCUGAACUAGAGUGGUCAAUCCCAUCUUGACACACACACCGACAAAUCAAGUACUUGACUACACCCAGCAGCCUUCCAUCACUGAAUUAGAAAUUCAGGUAGUCCCGUGCCUAAGUGCAGUGAGUUGCUUGCAAGUCACCGUGACGGUCU